AUUGAACGCUGGCGGCAGGCCUAACACAUGCAAGUCGAGCGGAGCGGCGGACGGGUGAGUAAUGCCUAGGAAUCUGCCUGGUAGUGGGGGAUAACGUCCGGAAACGGGCGCUAAUACCGCAUACUAUCAGAUGAGCCUAGGUCUGAUUAGCUGGUUGGUGGGGUAAAUGCCUACCAGGGCGACGAUCCGUAACUGGUCUGAGAGGAUGAUCAGUCACCCUGUGACUGAUACACGGUCCAUGCUCCUACGGGAGGCACCAGUGGGUAGGAUUGGACAAUGGGCUAAAGCCUGAUCCACCCAUGCCGCGUGUGUGAAGCAGGUCUUCGGAUUGUAAAGCACUUUAAGUUGGGAGGCGUGACCAACAGAAUAAGCACCGGCUAACUUCGUGCCAGCAGCCGCGGUAAUUC
rnacentral:rRNA from 1 species